rnacentral:rRNA from 1 species
UUAAGUUAUUAAGGGCGCACGGUGGAUGCCUUGGCACUAGAAGCCGAUGAAGGACGUUACUAACGACGAUAUGCUUUGGGGAGCUGUAAGUAAGCUUUGAUCCAGAGAUUUCCGAAUGGGGAAACCCAGCAUGAGUUAUGUCAUGUUAUCGAUAUGUGAAUACAUAGCAUAUCAGAAGGCACACCCGGAGAACUGAAACAUCUUAGUACCCGGAGGAAGAGAAAGAAAAUUCGAUUCCCUUAGUAGCGGCGAGCGAAACGGGAAGAGCCCAAACCAACAAGCUUGCUUGUUGGGGUUGUAGGACACUCUAUACGGAGUUACAAAGGACGACAUUAGACGAAUCAUCUGGAAAGAUGAAUCAAAGAAGGUAAUAAUCCUGUAGUCGAAAAUGUUGUCUCUCUUGAGUGGAUCCUGAGUACGACGGAGCACGUGAAAUUCCGUCGGAAUCUGGGAGGACCAUCUCCUAAGGCUAAAUACUCUCUAGUGACCGAUAGUGAACCAGUACCGUGAGGGAAAGGUGAAAAGCACCCCGGAAGGGGAGUGAAAUAGAACCUGAAACCGUGUGCUUACAAGUAGUCAGAGCCCGUUAAUGGGUGAUGGCGUGCCUUUUGUAGAAUGAACCGGCGAGUUACGAUUUGAUGCAAGGUUAAGCAGUAAAUGUGGAGCCGUAGCGAAAGCGAGUCUGAAUAGGGCGUUUAGUAUUUGGUCGUAGACCCGAAACCAGGUGAUCUACCCUUGGUCAGGUUGAAGUUCAGGUAACACUGAAUGGAGGACCGAACCGACUUACGUUGAAAAGUGAGCGGAUGAACUGAGGGUAGCGGAGAAAUUCCAAUCGAACCUGGAGAUAGCUGGUUCUCUCCGAAAUAGCUUUAGGGCUAGCCUCAAGUGAUGAUUAUUGGAGGUAGAGCACUGUUUGGACGAGGGGCCCCUCUCGGGUUACCGAAUUCAGACAAACUCCGAAUGCCAAUUAAUUUAACUUGGGAGUCAGAACAUGGGUGAUAAGGUCCGUGUUCGAAAGGGAAACAGCCCAGACCACCAGCUAAGGUCCCAAAAUAUAUGUUAAGUGGAAAAGGAUGUGGCGUUGCCCAGACAACUAGGAUGUUGGCUUAGAAGCAGCCAUCAUUUAAAGAGUGCGUAAUAGCUCACUAGUCGAGUGACACUGCGCCGAAAAUGUACCGGGGCUAAACAUAUUACCGAAGCUGUGGAUUGUCCUUUGGACAAUGGUAGGAGAGCGUUCUAAGGGCGUUGAAGCAUGAUCGUAAGGACAUGUGGAGCGCUUAGAAGUGAGAAUGCCGGUGUGAGUAGCGAAAGACGGGUGAGAAUCCCGUCCACCGAUUGACUAAGGUUUCCAGAGGAAGGCUCGUCCGCUCUGGGUUAGUCGGGUCCUAAGCUGAGGCCGACAGGCGUAGGCGAUGGAUAACAGGUUGAUAUUCCUGUACCACCUAUAAUCGUUUUAAUCGAUGGGGGGACGCAGUAGGAUAGGCGAAGCGUGCGAUUGGAUUGCACGUCUAAGCAGUAAGGCUGAGUAUUAGGCAAAUCCGGUACUCGUUAAGGCUGAGCUGUGAUGGGGAGAAGACAUUGUGUCUUCGAGUCGUUGAUUUCACACUGCCGAGAAAAGCCUCUAGAUAGAAAAUAGGUGCCCGUACCGCAAACCGACACAGGUAGUCAAGAUGAGAAUUCUAAGGUGAGCGAGCGAACUCUCGUUAAGGAACUCGGCAAAAUGACCCCGUAACUUCGGGAGAAGGGGUGCUCUUUAGGGUUAACGCCCAGAAGAGCCGCAGUGAAUAGGCCCAAGCGACUGUUUAUCAAAAACACAGGUCUCUGCUAAACCGUAAGGUGAUGUAUAGGGGCUGACGCCUGCCCGGUGCUGGAAGGUUAAGAGGAGUGGUUAGCUUCUGCGAAGCUACGAAUCGAAGCCCCAGUAAACGGCGGCCGUAACUAUAACGGUCCUAAGGUAGCGAAAUUCCUUGUCGGGUAAGUUCCGACCCGCACGAAAGGCGUAACGAUUUGGGCACUGUCUCAACGAGAGACUCGGUGAAAUCAUAGUACCUGUGAAGAUGCAGGUUACCCGCGACAGGACGGAAAGACCCCGUGGAGCUUUACUGUAGCCUGAUAUUGAAAUUCGGCACAGCUUGUACAGGAUAGGUAGGAGCCUUUGAAACGUGAGCGCUAGCUUACGUGGAGGCGCUGGUGGGAUACUACCCUAGCUGUGUUGGCUUUCUAACCCGCACCACUUAUCGUGGUGGGAGACAGUGUCAGGCGGGCAGUUUGACUGGGGCGGUCGCCUCCUAAAAGGUAACGGAGGCGCUCAAAGGUUCCCUCAGAAUGGUUGGAAAUCAUUCAUAGAGUGUAAAGGCAUAAGGGAGCUUGACUGCGAGACCUACAAGUCGAGCAGGGUCGAAAGACGGACUUAGUGAUCCGGUGGUUCCGCAUGGAAGGGCCAUCGCUCAACGGAUAAAAGCUACCCCGGGGAUAACAGGCUUAUCUCCCCCAAGAGUUCACAUCGACGGGGAGGUUUGGCACCUCGAUGUCGGCUCAUCGCAUCCUGGGGCUGUAGUCGGUCCCAAGGGUUGGGCUGUUCGCCCAUUAAAGCGGUACGCGAGCUGGGUUCAGAACGUCGUGAGACAGUUCGGUCCCUAUCCGUCGUGGGCGUAGGAAAUUUGAGAGGAGCUGUCCUUAGUACGAGAGGACCGGGAUGGACAUACCUCUGGUGUACCAGUUGUCGUGCCAACGGCAUAGCUGGGUAGCUAUGUGUGGACGGGAUAAGUGCUGAAAGCAUCUAAGCAUGAAGCCCCCCUCAAGAUGAGAUUUCCCAACUUNNNNNNNNNNNNNNNNNNNNNNNNGGUUAUAAGAUCCCUCAAAGAUGAUGAGGUUAAUAGGUUCGAGGUGGAAGCAUGGUGACAUGUGGAGCUGACGAAUACUAAUCGAUCGAAGACUUAAUCAA